GACGUAGGAGGCGAGCGUUAUCCGGAUUCACUGGGCGUAAAGCGCAUGUAGGCGGUUGGAUAAGUCUGUUGUUAAAGCCCCCGGCUCAACUGGGGGAGGUCAAUGGAGACUGUCCGACUUGAGGGCAACAGAGGCACAUGGAACUCCCGGUGUAGCGGUGGAAUGCGUAGAGAUCGGGAAGAACACCCGUGGCGAAGGCGGUGUGCUGGGUUGCAACUGACGCUGAGAUGCGAAAGCCAGGGGAGCAAACGGG
rnacentral:rRNA from 1 species